rnacentral:rRNA from 1 species
UUGACUGGGGCGGUCUCCUCCCAAAGAGUAACGGAGGAGCACGAAGGUUGGCUAAUCCUGGUCGGACAUCAGGAGGUUAGUGCAAUGGCAUAAGCCAGCUUGACUGCGAGCGUGACGGCGCGAGCAGGUGCGAAAGCAGGUCAUAGUGAUCCGGUGGUUCUGAAUGGAAGGGCCAUCGCUCAACGGAUAAAAGGUACUCCGGGGAUAACAGGCUGAUACCGCCCAAGAGUUCAUAUCGACGGCGGUGUUUGGCACCUCGAUGUCGGCUCAUCACAUCCUGGGGCUGAAGUAGGUCCCAAGGGUAUGGCUGUUCGCCAUUUAAAGUGGUACGCGAGCUGGGUUUAGAACGUCGUGAGACAGUUCGGUCCCUAUCUGCCGUGGGCGCUGGAGAAUUGAGGGGGGCUGCUCCUAGUACGAGAGGACCGGAGUGGACGCAUCACUGGUGUUCGGGUUGUCAUGCCAAUGGCACUGCCCGGUAGCUAAAUGCGGAAGAGAUAAGUGCUGAAAGCAUCUAAGCACGAAACUUGCCCCGAGAUGAGUUCUCCCUGAGACUUUAAGUCUCCUGAAGGAACGUUGAAGACGACGACGUUGAUAGGUCGGGUGUGUAAGCGCAGCGAUGCGUUGAGCUAACCGAUACUAAUGAACCGUGAGGCUUAACCUU